rnacentral:rRNA from 1 species
ACGGGUGAGUAACGCGUGGGAAUCUACCGUACCCUACGGAAUAGCUCUGGGAAACUGGAAGUAAUACCGUAUACGCCCUAACGGGGAAAGAUUUAUCGGGGUAUGAUGAGCCCGCGUUGGAUUAGCUAGUUGGUGGGGUAAAGGCCUACCAAGGCGACGAUCCAUAGCUGGUCUGAGAGGAUGAUCAGCCACAUUGGGACUGAGACACGGCCCAAACUCCUACGGGAGGCAGCAGUGGGGAAUAUUGGACAAUGGGGGCAACCCUGAUCCAGCCAUGCCGCGUGAGUGAUGAAGGUCUUAGGAUUGUAAAGCUCUUUCAACGGUGAAGAUAAUGACGGUAACCGUAGAAGAAGCCCCGGCUAACUUCGUGCCAGCAGCCGCGGUAAUACGAAGGGGGCUAGCGUUGUCCGGAAUUACUGGGCGUAAAGCGCACGUAGGCGGGUAUUUAAGUCAGGGGUGAAAUCCCGCAGCUCAACUGCGGAACUGCCUUUGAUACUGGGUAUCUUGAGUAUGGAAGAGGUAAGUGGAAUUGCGAGUGUAGAGGUGAAAUUCGUAGA